rnacentral:lncRNA from 1 species
AUAACGGAUUUUGGCCAGGAUAUAGGUUUUGAUGUACCUUGAUUAAAAGGAAGUCAGGAAGGGUUUCUCUCUGGAAACAAGUUUGGAAACUCUGGGGAGAAACUAAUCAAAAAGAAGUGGAAUCUUGAUGAAAUAUCAAAUUUGAGAAGUUUUUUUUUUUUUUAAUCAAGAGCACACUGAUUUGGAUAGACACAGUACGAGAGGUAGAAGUACACAGAAGCAAGAAAGUUACAGUGAGAGGACAUAACUGUCUGAAGCCAGCUCUGAUUCUGCAUGAAGAAAACAACUCUGUACGUAUCAUGGAUGUAAUUUGCAAAACAGAACUUUCCUGAACCCAUUGCCAUUCAAGCUCAAGAGUAGCUAGUUGCUCCAAGUGGAUGGGAUAUGACUGGAGUAAGUCAGACUGAAUCUGGGAGAACAUCCUACUUACUAUCUGCCAUCAUCCACGUCAAUUAUCAGCCUUCCUAAGAGGGAGGAUGGUUCUAUCUGCUUGGUGCUGGUGCCAACUCAGGAACUUGUCAAUAGGUAAAGCAAGCAGCUGCUGAAUACUAUAAAGCAUAUUGCUUGUCAUCUACUUGCAUCUAUAGUAGUGCUUGCAAGAGACCACAAAUGUUAUUUGGAGGGAGAGAUGGAAAUAUGUAUUGCAACACCUUGGAGACUUGAUUUAGUGUGUGAGAAGAUCAAUCUAAGAAGAACACAUUACUUUGCCCCUGAUGAAGCAUAUGGAAUACUUGAUAUGGGUUUUUACCUGCCUAAGAUUAUGUAUCAUGUAAGACAUUGAUGGGCACACUCUAAAGUGUAACUUAGCUAAAAUAUCUAAGCUUGCUGAAGAUUUCCUGAAAAACUAUGUUCAAUAUACCAUAUAAACAAUAGUGCACUACAACUAAUGAAAAAACAACAUUCUUGAGAUUGUGUAUGCAUAUAAUGACAAGAAAGGCUGAAAAACUUAAUUGUCUAAUGAAAAAAGGAAAAUAAAACCAUUUUUUAUUGAAACCAAAAGAAGAUAUCAUGAGCUUAUCAGCAAAAUAAGAAGAGACAGGUGACCUGUCAUGAGUAUUCAUGCUGACAAGAGUCAACAGGAAUAUGCCUGAGUUCAAAAUUAAUUCAAACAUGGGAAAGUUCCUAUUCCGAUUGCUACAGAUACAGCUUUCAGAGGGCUAGAGAUGAAAAUGCAAAAUUUGUCAUGAAUUAUUACUAACUCACUCCUCAAUGGGUUAUAUUCAUCUAAUUGGAAGAAUUACUCACAGUUCUAAAAUAUAGCCACAGCAUACACUUUCUUUACUUCUAAUAACAUGAAGCAAGGGAAUGAUCUUAUCUCUGUUUUAUGAAGCCAAUCUAGCAAUGAAUCUCAAGUUGUUCCAGUUGGUCAAGGACAGAGGUUCAGUCAUUCCAGAAGUAGAGGAGGCAUGAAGAAUGACCAUUUGUACCACUAUUCACACUCAAAGAGGUUACUGUAAGUCUCCUUAAGAGAGAUUUGGGGGCAAAAACUCAGAAUGGUCAUAUGAUGUAGCAAAUUACAUAAUGGGUACUUUAAAAGCCAUUUCAUAUCUAUUGAUAUAGAGACCAGUUUUAGGACUUACCGGAAUGGUAAUGAUAACAUUCAAUAAUAAGGAAUUAAGGUUUCAAAUAUGCACAUGGUGUGAACCAACAGCCAUAUACUAUCCUGCUAACUGUGGCCACAGGUGCAAUUGGUAUCUUCUGCCGAUAAAAUAUUC